CGCGACCCCAGGUCAAGCGGGGCUACCCG
rnacentral:rRNA from 1 species